GGAUCUCUUGCUGUAGAUUCUUCCUCUGUGGAGUUUUUCCUGCAAGCCUGGCUCUUCAGAGAGAGGUCCCAGUUCCCAUCCCACCACCGAACACCUGCCAACUAUAAACCAGCACCUUACUUUGGAGUGACCCACUCAGUCUCUGAUCCCCUUCGUCUAAGGAUGUUCAGGUGCCCUCCCUAACUGGAUUUUCCCAAGGAUACAGCAACAGCCCUGACUGCUCCCUGCCUCAAGUCAAACUCCAACAACUGCCGUUGCGAUGCUUUUAAGAUGGCACAGGAGUGCCAUCCUGUGGCUAACAGAAGCAAUCCAGAAGCUUGUCCUGCCAACAACGGUUUGAUGUUGCACCAUCCUACAAUCGUAACGCCUUCUCCUUGGAGGGAGUUCACACAGCACUGAAGACAAAGGGAUGCUGCUGCUGCUUUCAAGCGGUUCUUGAAACUGGCUUAAGAAAAAUCUUUAAAUCUAGUCAGCCCAAUGCUGAAGAGGCAGGGUAAGGAGCUAGAAAACCCAGCUAUUCAUAUAGGAGGAAAUAAAAGUCCUAUGGAUCCAUA